rnacentral:rRNA from 1 species
UACGUAGGGUGCAAGCGUUACUCGGAAUUACUGGGCGUAAAGCGUGCGCAGGCGGUUAUGUAAGACAGGUGUGAAAUGCCCGGGCUUAACCUGGGAACUGCAUUUGUGACUGCAUGGCUAGAGUUUGGCAGAGGGGGGUAGAAUUCCACGUGUAGCAGUGAAAUGCGUAGAUAUGUGGAGGAACACCGAUGGCGAAGGCAGCCCCCUGGGUCAAGACUGACGCUCAUGCACGAAAGCGUGGGGAGCAAACAGG